AUUGAACGCUGGCGGCAGGCCUAACACAUGCAAGUCGAACGAGUGGCGGACGGGUGAGUAAUGUCUGGGCAACUGCCUGAUGGAGGGGGAUAACUACUGGAAACGGUAGCUAAUACCGCAUACCAUCGGAUGUGCCCAGAUUGGAUUAGCUAGUAGGUGGGGUAACGGCUCACCGAGGCGACGAGCCCUAGCUGGUCUGAGAGGCUGACCAGCCACACGGCAACUGCGACACGGUCCAGACUCCUACGGGAGGCAGCAGUGGGGAAUAUUGCACAAGGGGCGCAAGCCUGAUGCAGCCAGGCCGCGUGUAUGAAGAAGGCUUUCGGGUUGUAAAGUACUUUCAGCGGGGAGGCGUUACCCGCAGAAGAAGCACCGGCUAACUCCGUGCCAGCCGCCGCGGUAAUUC
rnacentral:rRNA from 1 species